UACGUAGGGUGCAAGCGUUAAUCGGAAUUACUGGGCGUAAAGCGUGCGCAGGCGGUUUUGUAAGUCUGUCGUGAAAUCCCCGGGCUUAACCUGGGAAUUGCGAUGGAGACUGCAAGGCUGGAGUCUGGCAGAGGGGGGUAGAAUUCCACGUGUGAGCAGUGAAAUGCGUAGAGAUGUGGAGGAACACCGAUGGCGAAGGCAGCCCCCUGGGUCAAGACUGACGCUCAUGCACGAAAGCGUGGGGAGCAAACGAGG
rnacentral:rRNA from 1 species